rnacentral:rRNA from 1 species
UACAGAGGGUGCAAGCGUUGCUCGGAAUUAUUGGGCGUAAAGGGUAGGUAGGUGGUCUCAUUUGUCUAGGGUGAAAGCCUGGGGCUUAACCCCAGAAGUGCCCUAGAAACGGUGAGACUGGAGUACUGGAGAGGGUCGUGGAAUUCCCGGUGUAGCGGUGAAAUGCGUAGAGAUCGGGAGGAACACCAGAGGCGAAGGCGGCGACCUGGACAGUUACUGACACUCAACUACGAAAGCGUGGGGAGCAAACAGG